UGCGGUGCUCUCCGCCAGCCGGACCUUUUUAGGCACCAGCUCCAUUCUACCAUUCCACAUCUUGAGGCCUUCCAAAUGAUUACAUCCUCAAUGAGUUUUCCUAGGUGCCAGAAUAAAGCAAAGAAUGAGCAAAACCUGAGACAGCAACAGAUCAUUUUCUGGACUGAUCAAUGUUCUUUAAUCACUCACAAUUUUCUGUCACUGGCAAAUUGUCACCACAAUAUUCCUAGCAAUGAAUUAAAAUAAAUAUCUCAUCAGGAAUGCCUGCAGAUCCUCUGAAUGUAUUUCUGAUAGUUGACUGCACAAAUGUUUUAUUUUUCAAUCCGUUUAACAUGAGCUUGUUUGCCUUGCUUGCUGGUGCUGGAGGAGCACUCUGAAUCCUGAAUACUGAA
rnacentral:lncRNA from 1 species